GGGCCCGCACAAGCGGUGGAGUAUGUGGUUUAAUUCGAUGCAACGCGAAGAACCUUACCAGGGUUUGACAUCCUGCGAAUCUCUUGGAAACAGGAGAGUGCCUUCGGGAACGCAGUGACAGGUGGUGCAUGGCUGUCGUCAGCUCGUGUCGUGAGAUGUUGGGUUAAGUCCCGCAACGAGCGCAACCCACGUCUUUAGUUGCCAGCAGUUCGGCUGGGCACUCUAGAGAAACUGCCUGGGAUGACCAGGAGGAAGGCGAGGAUGACGUCAAGUCCUCAUGGCCCUUAUGGGCUGGGCUACACACGUGCUACAAUGGCGGUUACAAUGGGAUGCAAAAGGGUGACCUUGAGCUAAUCCCCAAAGGCCGUCUCAGUUCGGAUUGUUCUCUGCAACUCGAGAACAUGAAGUCGGAAUCGCUAGUAAUCG
rnacentral:rRNA from 1 species